UAUACCCUGAUGUUCGGAAGAGAACCACUGAUCCCUCUGGAUCAAAUGUUGGGCAGAACUGACUCAGAUUGGGGACAAGAAUUUGUUAGGGAGCAAUCUCAGAUGUUGAACCGUGCCUCGGAAAUUGUGAGGGAUAAAGUUGCUAAGAGGGCAAGUCAAAACAAGGCAGCAUACGAUGCUAGGGGGCGCACAGCAGUGAAACCAGUUGUACCAGGCUCGCAGGUACUCAUGCGCAGAUGUGCAUUUGGGGGCCGUCACAAAAUUCAAAAUAAAUACGAGAGCGAUCCGUAUAUCGUGGUGUGGGUAAAUCAGCAAGGGGAUGUGUGUUCCAUUCGACCGGCUAAGGGAGGCGAACAGAAGACAGUAAAUAGGAAAUAUUUACUACUAGACCCUUUAGCAGAACCGGAGUCUGACAGUGGGGAAGAGUCCGAGGAGGAUUCAUUAUGUGAUGUUGUCGUGUCUGACACGGGUUGCUUGCCAGGCCGGCCUCCAGCUAAUGGCUCUAGGGAAGUAGGGAGUGGAAAAGUAGGGGAGCCAGCUCAAGUCACUGGCUCAAGCUCUUCUGUUCCACUAAGAAGAUCCGAAAGGGUGACAAAGGGGGUACACCGAAACCCAUGUCGACUUCCCCGGUCAGCAUUACUUUGAAUUUGAUAGAAUCUUGUGUUUACUGUGAGGUGACGACAUCAGUUGGUGGAUGGGUGUCGCUGGGGGUCUGGAACGUUUUGGGAGAAGGCUGGGGUAUCCGGUUCUCUUAAGACCGACCAGAUCCAGCGCUGCUCAUUCGUACGAUGUCGUCGCAGCUUAAUUUUCACAAUGUCAGAUGACAGAGUCAAGUUAGGUAACUGGUAUAUUUCCUAUAUGUAGGGGCCCAGGUUGGCUCUCCUUUUUAUUCAUGUUGUAUUUACUAUGAGUUUUGUGCUAUUUGGACAUAGUUUUGUUAAACGCCUUAAUAAAAGGAGAGGAUCUUUUUAUGUAGCUUUGUCAGGUGGAACGUACGAGAUUAAGUGUCUGGGGGAAGGGGGUCUCACUAUAGACCGAAUAGAGAAAAACCCUCGACGGUAUUUGAGACCACUUGGUAUGAUAUCACCAAAGGUGCUGGUCCUCGACUUAGGAACUAAUGAUCUCUGUGCAAGAGAAAAUCAACCUGGGAUGGUGCAUGCCUCCUUAUGCAAUCUUAUUAACGAAUUUCCUAGGUGGAAUAUCAAACCUGAGGCUAUUGUAUUUUUGCCUGUGCUGGCCCGCACUGGGGCCAUGCGAAGCUCACAAGUCUCACUUGAUGAAUUUAAUGCAAGGGUUGAAGCAUUUAACAGGUUGUUGGAGGGUUCCACAUUUGUAGAAGAUAGAUGGUGGGUGUGGAAACACCGGGCCUUAAAGAACCCUGAGUACAUCCUGGAUGGUGUGCAUCUGAACCCUGCAGGCAUGGCUCACUAUGAAAGAACCCUCAGACAGUUGAUCAAGUUUUUUGAAUUCAGGAUUCUGUGAUUAUAGUAACUUGUUUGACGUUGCUAGGAGUGACGAUGUGUUUGUCCUAACUCAAAGUUUGGGUAUUGCUAUAAAAGUUCAGUUAAGAUUUUGGAAAGAAGGGUAUAUUUAUAUUGUAUAUGAGACCCGUCACGACGGAGGGCCGUUUAAGUUAUACCCUGCCAAAAUUAACAUUUUUGUGCUUUAAUGAAAGAAAAUGUAAUGAGCGUUAAAAUGAUGGGUCAGACAGCUCAACAGAUAGUAUGGUUUUAGAGUUAUAACAAUGUAUGUAAACAGAGCCAGAUUGGUCGCAUUAUGUUUUCUUGUUAACUGAUCCCAUUUUAUUGCUGUUUUAAAAAAAAGUGUUUUCCUAAAUUGAUCUCCAGGAGUAGAUCACCAAAAGAAGGGGAGAGAUGUAGUGAUUAGAAAUUAUUUAUUUGCUUUGCCCGUUAGGUCAAAUGAGGGCGCUGUUUAAGUUAACUGGUCAAACUUCCGCGAAUUUGUUGAGGGGUUAUGAGGAUAUAGAAAUAGUACGUUCAUCAGCCAAGUAAGGGGAUAUUUUGACGAUAAUAGAUAACUAAGGGGUUCUAUCUCUCAUGAAGUGCUGUAUUCUCAGAAGUAAAUUUCUGUUAUUGUAAAAUAUGUGAAUGUAGGAUAGAGCAGAUGAUGUUUUUAUCGUGUGCGCCUUAAUACUAAACAACUGUUUACGUAAGCGGGUUUGGCGGGCACUGUCUCCGAGGUCUGCGUUUCUGACAGCUGCAGAAAGCUUGCUUUAGCAACUAUUAUCAGACCAAUUUAGCCUGACAGCCGAUGGCUGGAAUGUAUUACUAGACACCAGAGGAAGGAGAGACAGCCCUGGAGCCCGUGCACUGGCUGGUUUUUUUGUGAUGAAUGGGAGCAGAAACGACUAAUAAAUUUGAUGUGAUUGAAUCAUCACCCCUGAACCUCGACUCCA
rnacentral:lncRNA from 1 species